rnacentral:rRNA from 1 species
GAGCACGUAGGUGGGUUUGUAAGUCAGUUGUGAAAGCCUUCUGUUCAACGGAAGAAUUGCAUCUGAAACUACUAAUCUUGAGUAUAGGAGGGGAGAAUGGAACUUCUGGUGGAGCGGUGAAAUGCGUAGAUAUCAGAAGGAACGCCGGCGGCGAAAGCGAUUCUCUGGCCUAUUACUGACACUCAGUGUGCGAAAGCUAGGGGAGCAAACGGGAUUAGAUACCCCGGUAGUCCUAGCCGUAAACGAUGGGCACUAAGUAGAGGGG